GACGAACGCUGGCGGCGUGCUUAACACAUGCAAGUCGAACGGAAAGGCCCUGCUUGCAGGGUACUCGAGUGGCGAACGGGUGUGUAACACGUGGGUGAUCUGCCCUGCACUUCGGGAUAAGCCUGGGAAACUGGGUCUAAUACCGGAUAGGAUCCAUUUUCAGUGUGAUGGUUGGAAAGAUUUUUCGGUGUAGGAUAAGCUCGCGGCCUAUCAGCUUGUUCGUGGGGUAAUGGCCUACCAAGGCGGCGACGGGUAGGCGGCCUGAGAGGGUGGACGGCCAAAGUGGGACUGUGAUACGGCCCAGACUCGUACGGGAGGCAGCAGUGGGGAAGAUUGCACAAUGGGGGCAAGCCUGAUGCAGCGACGCCGCGUGGGGGAUGACGGCCUGCGGGUUGUAAACUCCUUUCGCUAGGGACUAAGCUUUGGUGACGGUACCUAGAGAAGAAGCACCGGCUAACUACGUG
rnacentral:rRNA from 1 species